GCAGUGAAGGCAGGGGGGACCGUUCGGUCGGUGACACCGGCCCUAACCAAUUUGGCACCGUAGGCAAGACUUUUAAUGCACUUUGCAUGUUGGCUUGGAAUAAACAAACAAACCAAAAUGACAGGGAGAACUCUGCUCAAAGCCUCUCCCAGCGACUCCCACCCCAUUGAAAUUGUUUAUUUUGGGUAGGUCAGAUUAGGGGAACCUUCCCCCGAAAUGCCUCAGGAAUUAGCAAAGCAUGGAUGAAGGCACGUUAACACUGCUAGCUACCUGAUUCAUCAUAUUAUGUGGCGAGCUGCGUGGAAGAACAAAGACGGAGCCAGAGCCUUUGUUUUUUCUGCACUCUGCCACAAGAAGGUGCUUUUAUUUUUACACACAACACAGAGACAAUGGCUGAGACAACAACAACACUGAAAACCCCAAACUCCCAUAAUGCAUUGCAGCACAACAAUUUACAACAACUGGCCCAACGAUCACUUCAUUAUUUUUACUGUACCUCUGUCUCGGUCCUGUUUUCCCUCCUCUUCUUUUCUUUUUGUCCUCCCCUGGGCACCAGACAUUUUGGGCCAUUUGACGAUGUUGUUAUGUUACAAUGACAUAAUGACAUAAUGACAUCAUUUGACAUUUUGGGGCGGAGAGGGGAUGACGAGGAAACUAACUUGGCUGGUUGCUAAGACUGUAAAUUGUUGUUCUGCAAUGCAUUAUGGGAGUUUGGGGGUUAAGUGGUGUUGUGGUUCAUGUUAGGUUAACCGUGUUGUUAGUGUUGUUGAUUUGUUGUGUUUUGUAGUUCAUUUGGUUUAGUCAGUUUGGUUGAGUGUCAUGUUGUUGUUACCAUAAGUGUAAAGUGUCAUUGUGUUUGAUGACUUCAACCUUUGUCUCUGUGUUGUGUGUGAAAAUAAUAGCACCUCCUUGUGGCAAUGUGCAUAAAAGACAAAAGCUCUGGCUUGCUCUUCGUUCUUCCACGCAGCUCACCACACUGCUAUUAUUAUUUAAUAGGCUUUGCUAUGCAGUCAGAUCAAUAUGGGCUUAUAUUUAUUUUUGAUUAAAAGUAGUUUUAACUAGUUUUAGUAUCAUAGUGAAAGUCGACUUCAUUUAUCCCUCAUUUGAUUCUGUUGUGACUUAAAGAGAUUUGUUUUGUUUUUUUUAGUUACCAAGGGAGGUUUUGUUUAUGGACUCACAGCGCCAUCCACUGUUAGUCUGAAGACAUUGAAGGAAGAAUGUGUUUUUGUCAUUUUUGUAAAUAAAAGACACUUUCAGUUCACCUGUGUGCUCACUGGACUGAGGUUUAAUCACCUGAACCAUGAUGGUGCGGGGGAUCUCACGCAGAAAGGACCAGGCGGGAUGUGAACCCACAACCUUCUUGCUGUGAGACAGCAGUGCUAACCAUGAAGACCCUGUUCUGCCCUUUUUUCUCACAUUUCAUGAGUUUUCCUCAAAGACGUCCAGCUGUAAACAUGCUGUUCACAUUGGUGCAGAAUCCAGUAUCAGCUUGACACAGGUGAGAGAGACGGGAGAGCUGGAACUAGAAGAAGAACUUUAUUCCAAACUCAUCUUCCUCUAUCGCUCUCCAGAGACCAUGAUCAAAUGGACCCGGGACAUCCAGAGCUGAGACCAGGACACACACCAGGGCUUGGACAGAAACUUUGUCCCCAGACAAACUGGUGAAGAAACUCUGACUGCUGGACGUCUUCUGGCUGAGGAGCGCUGACGUUCAAACCACUUUGAAAUUCAUUAAAGAUCGAACGUCUCUUUGAUGCACCGCCGCUUGGACGGGGGCGGUGCCUAGGACGUAUGAUUGUGUCUUUUUCCUUCUCACCACUCAUGAGGUCAAGAACACGUGAGAAGACGUUGAUGGAUGACAAACUGGACUUUUGCCUUCAGGUGAGGAUGGCAGCACAGCUGGACCGGCUCUCCUGACCCGCCACGCAUACGUCCCACUGCAUCAGUGACUUGGUGUGCUGUGACACGUGCACGCCGUGCCAUAAACAUCCACACGUGCACAACAGUGUGCACGUUUCUCAGUUCCCCUGGUGAGCUGAAAGUCGCUGCACUGACAGAAAAAAGGUUUUCUAUGCACUAAUUUAUGGACGUUUCAGAUUUUUUCACUUGUUAAAUCAUUUUGUAAUCCAGAUUAUGACGUUUCAAAUCAUGUACAGAGAUUAUUGUUUCUAAUUUAAAUAUUUUUCCUAAAGCUGUCA